GAAAAAGAAUGCAAGAACUGCUAAUUCAUGCCUC
rnacentral:tRNA from 1 species